AGUGAACGCUGGCGGUAGGCCUAACACAUGCAAGUCGAACGGCAGCACAGUAAGAGCUUGCUCCUACGGGUGGCGAGUGGCGGACGGGUGAGGAAUACAUCGGAAUCUACUUUUUCGUGGGGGAUAACGUAGGGAAACUUACGCUAAUACCGCAUACGACCUACGGGUGAAAGCAGGGGAUCUUCGGACCUUGCGCGAUUGAAUGAGCCGAUGUCGGAUUAGCUAGUUGGCGGGGUAAAGGCCCACCAAGGCGACGAUCCGUAGCUGGUCUGAGAGGAUGAUCAGCCACACUGGAACUGAGACACGGUCCAGACUCCUACGGGAGGCAGCAGUGGGGAAUAGUGGACAAUGGGCGCAAGCCUGAUCCAGCCAUACCGCGUGGGUGAAGAAGGCCUUCGGGUUGUAAAGCCCUUUUGUUGGGAAAGAAAAGCAGCAGGUUAAUACCCCGCUGUUCUGACGGUACCCAAAGAAUAAGCACCGGCUAACUUCGUG
rnacentral:rRNA from 1 species